rnacentral:rRNA from 1 species
AAUAUUGGUCAAUGGGUGAAACCCUGAACCAGCAAUGCCGCGUGAGUGACGAAGGUUUUCGUACCGUAAAUCUCUGUCCUUGGGGAAGAUAAUGACGGUACCCAAGAAGAAAGGCACGGCUAACUACGUUCCAUCAGCCGCGGUAAUACGUAAGUGGCAAGCGUUGUCCGGAAUUAUUGGGCGUAAAGGGCGAGUAGGCGGCCGGUUAUGUCAGAUGGAAAAGGCUAGGGCUCAACCCUAACAUGGCAUUUGAAACUGAUUGGCUUGAGAGUAGGAGAGGGAAGUGGAAUUCCUAAUGUAGCGGUGAAAUGCGUAGAUAUUAGGAGGAACACCAGUGGCGAAGGCGACUUCCUGGCCUACAACUGUCGCUGAUGCGCGAAAGCGUGGGGAGCAAAC